rnacentral:lncRNA from 1 species
CGGGGUAGGGUGGGUCACUGGCCGGAGAGCAACGAUGGCCGGCGGUGGGCUGGCCGCAAGCAAGGGAAGCAGGGGUGCGUGGCUGCGACUUCUUCUUCUUCUCUCUCUUCUUUCUCUUCUUUCUUUCUUUCUUUCUUUCUUCUUCUUUUUUUUUUUUUAAUGAUGAACUGCAACGAGAACGCCGAGGAUCGCAGCUCUGAUACUAAUUGAUAAGACUUUAAAGUCUU